rnacentral:tRNA from 1 species
GUAGUUGUGACCGAGUGGUUAAGGCGAUGGGCUAGAAAUCUGCUGGGGUCCUCCUGUGCAGGUUCAAAUCUUGCUGACUAUG